UACGAAGGGGACUAGCGUUGUUCGGAAUCACUGGGCGUAAAGCGCACGUAGGCGGAUGUGUCAGUCAGGGGUGAAAUCCCGGGGCUCAACCUCGGAACUGCCUUUGAUACAGCACGUCUCGAGUCCGGAAGAGGUGGGUGGAAUUCCUGGUGUAGCGGUGAAAUGCGCAGAUAUCAGGAGGAACACCCGUGGCGAAAGCGGCUCUCUGGGGACCAUCUGACGCUGAGGCGCGAAAGCGUGGGGAGCGAACCGG
rnacentral:rRNA from 1 species